GGGGGUGAUCAGCUUUGACAAAAGAAUACUUUUUGAUUCGUGCGAAGUAAGAGCUUGUGUAACUCUUUCAAAAAGGCACAAAAACAUACGUGCAGAUAAUACUCGCGUAAGCGUAAAAUCACCAUACUUCGGUGUGAAUGAUUUUGCGUUCGCUCUCGCGUAAGCCAGAGCGACGUCUCGCUUCCAGACAUCCGAUAAGGAAGUUGGGGUGUAAUAAAUUUCGGGUUUGGAUUAUUUGUUUUCCUUAGCUCAUAAUCUGCAAUUAAUAAGGAUCGGGUUUGGAGGGUUUUGAUUGUUUCUACUUCCCUGCCCUAAAACACCAAACAAUAUACGCUUUGUAGAAUCGAUCAAAAACUUUUUUUGGACGGGAGUUCAACCUCCCCACCUCCACAA
rnacentral:tmRNA from 1 species